UAACACACACAUUGACUGGGCGAGAUCCACUUCCUUGGAGCGAGGCGUCACGUAGGUAUCACCCCUCCUUUUCAACUCCCAACCACACGCGAUGGAUGAAUCGGGAUGCCCGGCCACAAGAGACGCCGCUGCACGCCGGAGCUCGGUGGCGGACCGAUGCUGCGUUCUUCAGUGAAGGCGAGUGUUGCCGGCCGGUCGAGUCUUCCGCUGUUUGUAUUACUAACCUUCAGUUUCUGUGAUUUAUAGUGAUGUUUUCUUUGUGAUGGAGGAUUAGUAGUGGUGUUGUCAUGAUGCAGAUGUAAAAGAGAUCAAGACAAAGAGCGAGGUCUGGAUGAUCAUUGCAGAUUUUUUUCAGAUGAACUGAGCGAUGACAACACAAAUGGGAUAAAUAACUGUUGAUUUACUCAUUCACACAACUAGGUAAGAAUAAAUUUGCACUAUGAUGGCACUGCUGGUAUACUUUUGAAGAUACGAAGGGAUUUUCUUACCUCACCCAUAAGGCCGAUCUAUUCUUUUAACAUAAUUUGUAUUCAGAGUAACAAAAUCCAAAAACUAAAAAAUGUGCGUUGCAACACAGUAUUUUGAAUGGAAAUUUCAUGUAGGAGCAUUCAUGGAGUCACAUGUCCAGUGGCAGAGUUAGGCAAAAGGUUCAGUAGG
rnacentral:lncRNA from 1 species